rnacentral:tRNA from 1 species
AACUAAUAGUUUAAUUAAAAUUUUAGUUUUGGAGACUAGAGAUAAAUAAGUCAUUUUUAGUUGAU